rnacentral:rRNA from 1 species
AGUAAAAGUCGUAACAAGGUUUCCGUAGGUGAACCUGCGGAAGGAUCAUUAACGAGUUUUGAAAUGGGUUGUAGCUGGCCUUACGAAGGCAUGUGCACACCCUGCUCAUCCACUCUCAUACCCCUGUGCACCUAUUGUAGGCUUGGUGGGAUGACUGGUGUUACAGCCAGUUUGAAAGCCUUGCCUAUGUUUCAAUACACACGCUUCAGUUUAAGAAUGUAACCUUUGCGUCUAACGCAUGAAAUACAACUUUCAGCAACGGAUCUCUUGGCUCUCGCAUCGAUGAAGAACGCAGCGAAAUGCGAUAAGUAAUGUGAAUUGCAGAAUUCAGUGAAUCAUCGAAUCUUUGAACGCACCUUGCACUCCUUGGUAUUCCGAGGAGUAUGCCUGUUUGAGUGUCAUGGUAUUCUCAACCUUCAAAGCUUUUGCAAUGAAGGCUUGGAUGUGGAGGUCGUGUUGGCGCAAGUCAACUCCUCUUAAAUACAUUAGUGUGAAUCUUACGGAUCGCCUUCAGUGUGAUAAGUAUCUACGCUGUGGUGUUGAAGUAUAUAGGCAUUCAUGCUUCUAAUCGUCUCUUUACUGAGACAAUUACUUGACAAUCUGACCUCAAAUCAGGUAGGACUACCCGCUGAACUUAAGCAUAUCAAUAAGCGGAGGA